rnacentral:rRNA from 1 species
AACGAACGCUGGCGGCGUGCCUAACACAUGCAAGUCGAACGAGAAAGGGGCUUCGGCUCCGAGUCAAGUGGCGCACGGGUGAGUAACACGUGGGUAACCUGCCUCUAAGAUUGGGAUAACUCGUCGAAAGAUGAGCUAAUACCGAAUAAGACCACAGUUCCCGCGGGAACAGGGGUCAAAGGUAGCCUCUGCUUGCAAGCUAUCACUUAGAGAUGGGCCUGCGCACCAUUAGCUAGUUGGUAGGGUAACGGCCUACCAAGGCAAAGAUGGUUAGCUGGUCUGAGAGGAUGAUCAGCCACACUGGAACUGAGACACGGUCCAGACUCCUACGGGAGGCAGCAGGGGGGAAUAUUGCGCAAUGGGCGAAAGCUUGACGCAGCAAAGCCGCGUGAGGGAUGAAGGCCUUCGGGUCGUAAAGCUCUGUCGGGAGGAACGAAUGCUCCUGAGGUUAACAGCCUCGGGAGGUGACGGUACCUUCAAAGGAAGCACCGGCUAACUCUGUG